CGGACAGACAGACAUGGCUUAAUGGACUUCUCUAUUCAUUCUGAGCAUUUAUGUAUACAUUUGUCUAUAUCUAGCUCGAUUCGUUUCGGCUGUUACAAGCAAUCGUUAUGUGAACAAAGUUAAUAUACCCUUGUGCACAAGUGCGCUCGGGUAUAAAAAUAUUAAUUUUAAGGUUUUAC